rnacentral:tRNA from 1 species
GUCUCGGUGGCGCAAUUGGUAAGCUUACCCCCUCCUACAACUUAAUUUCACACCCAUCAGUUACUAAUUCAUCAUAAAGGUUAGCGCGUACGACUGUUAAUCGUGAGGUUGAGAGUUCGAUCCUCUCCCGGGACG